rnacentral:rRNA from 1 species
UACGGGGGGGGCAAGCGUUGUUCGGAAUUACUGGGCGUAAAGGGCUCGUAGGCGGCCAACUAAGUCAGACGUGAAAUCCCUCGGCUUAACCGGGGAACUGCGUCUGAUACUGGAUGGCUUGAGUUUGGGAGAGGGAUGCGGAAUUCCAGGUGUAGCGGUGAAAUGCGUAGAUAUCUGGAGGAACACCGGUGGCGAAGGCGGCAUUCUGGACCAACACUGACGCUGAGGAGCGAAAGCCAGGGGAGCAAAACGGGG